CACUGGGAAGCUAAUUAUUGGACAAAGCGUUGGCCUUUUAAGCCAAAGUUUGGUGCCUACCGACCACCCCCAGUGA
rnacentral:tRNA from 1 species